UAGCAUUCUUGCAAUUGUCAAAAUACUAACAAAAAUAAAGUGCCAAAAUAAAGUUAUGGUGAACUAGAGCCACCCAAAAGUACAUUACAAAUUCCCAAAAACAAAAACAGAAUUAGUAAAAAGAAACUCAAAAAUACAACAACUCUCAAAUCUCCACAUUCUCAAUCCUCCUCCUCUUCGUCACCACCUACGUUUCCAAGAACAUCCUCC
rnacentral:lncRNA from 1 species